UACAGACGGUCCAAACGUUAUUCGGAAUCACUGGGCUUAAAGAGUUCGUAGGCGGUCAGGCAAGUGGGGUGUGAAAGCCCUCGGCUUAACCGAGGAAUUGCGCUCCAAACUCCCUGACUUGAGGAGGCUAGAGGUAAGCGGAACUGAUGGUGGAGCGGUGAAAUGCGUUGAUAUCAUCAGGAACACCGGAGGCGAAGGCGGCUUACUGGGGCCUUUCUGACGCUGAGGAACGAAAGCUAGGGGAGCGAACGGG
rnacentral:rRNA from 1 species